rnacentral:lncRNA from 1 species
UUCGGUUGAUCUGGUAAGCCUAAUGAGUCUCUAUAAAAAAUAUUCCCUGUUGAGAUAAAUCCAUUUCUACGUGAAAAGAAAUUAUAAUGAAUCUUUGGCGAUGAGAAGCUCAGCUGUUGGCGAUUAAAUUCUUUUUUGGAAAAAAAAACUUGAAUGUAAUAUACAUAUACAUAGGUUUUAGGCGUAUAUAUAUUAAAUGUAACAGACAUUUUUGCGAGUGUCGGUUAGUCCGUUAGAAUAUGAUUCAACUCAUUGGGUGCACAUUGGCUCGUGCAAUUGUC